UACGUAGGGUGCGAGCGUUGUCCGGAAUUAUUGGGCGUAAAGCGCUUGUAGGCGGUCUGUCGCGUCUGCUGUGAAAAUCCGGGGCUCAACCCCGGACCUGCAGUGGGUACGGGCAGACUAGAGUGUGGUAGGGGAGACUGGAAUUCCUGGUGUAGCGGUGAAAUGCGCAGAUAUCAGGAGGAACACCGAUGGCGAAGGCAGGUCUCUGGGCCAUAACUGACGCUGAGAAGCGAAAGCAUGGGGAGCGAACAGG
rnacentral:rRNA from 1 species